UACGGGGGGGGUAAGCGUUGUUCGGAAUUACUGGGCGUAAAGGGAGCGUAGGCGGUCUUAUAAGUCAGUGGUGAAAUCCUAUCGCUUAACGAUAGACGUGCCAUUGAUACUGUAGGACUUGAGUACAGAUGCCGUUGGCGGAAUGUGUCAUGUAGCGGUGAAAUGCAUAGAUAUGACACAGAACACCGAUUGCGAAGGCAGCUGACGAAACUGUAACUGACGCUGAGGCUCGAAAGCGUGGGGAUCAAACAGG
rnacentral:rRNA from 1 species